rnacentral:rRNA from 1 species
GACGAACGCUGGCGGCGUGCUAAACACAUGCCAGUCGAACGGAAAGGCCCUGCUUUUGUGGGGUGCUCGAGUGGCGAACGGGUGAGUAACACGUGAGUAACCUGCCCUUGACUUUGGGAUAACUUCAGGAAACUGGGGCUAAUACCGGAUAGGAGCUCCUGCUGCAUGGUGGGGGUUGGAAAGUUUCGGCGGUUGGGGAUGGACUCGCGGCUUAUCAGCUUGUUGGUGGGGUAGUGGCUUACCAAGGCUUUGACGGGUAGCCGGCCUGAGAGGGUGACCGGCCACAUUGGGACUGAGAUACGGCCCAGACUCCUACGGGAGGCAGCAGUGGGGAAUAUUGCACAAUGGGCGGAAGCCUGAUGCAGCAACGCCGCGUGCGGGAUGACGGCCUUCGGGUUGUAAACCGCUUUCGCCUGUGACGAAGCGUGAGUGACGGUAAUGGGUAAAGAAGCACCGGCUAACUACGUG